UAUCAUGACAUUGAUAUCAUAUUAUUUCUUAUUUGAACAGAUUUUACAACUGCUGUGAUGGUAUUUUCAACCUAUUGUCAAUACGCGACAACGUGUAAGUGUAAAAGAUUUCCAAAGAAGACAGUGUUAGAGUUAAGAAAGCCAUGCAAACAGAAACCAGCAAAAGAAUAUUCUAACAACGUAAAUUAUAAUAGAUCGAUUGCUGAUAAAAUGGUUGACAGUCUUAUCCUUAAAACUGAAAAUCUACUCAAAAACUACGACGACCGUCCAGUAACCGCGGUCUCAAAAAACCAUCGUUCUUCUAGUCAAUCAAAACUUCCAGUAUUUAAAAAAGGGAAAAGAUUAAACUCUCUUCAAAAGAAUGUUGCAGAAGGUCUGAAAGUUUUCUAUUACAGCCUUACUUCAAUGGAGUUAAAAGAA